rnacentral:rRNA from 1 species
ACACGGCACUGAACGGAUGCAUAGGGAAAAAUGUUGAGGACGUCCAAGAUCGAAAAGUCGCAUUGAAGAGAACCCUAAAGAUAUGCGAAUCUCCAUAGGGGAAACCCUUCAACAAUCAACAAAGGAAAUUGAAACAUCUUACGACCUUUGUUCCAAGAAAUCAACCGAGAUUCCGAUAGUAGUGGCGAAUGAACUCGGAGAAUGCCUCUUCUUCAGACUAUGUGCAAGAGAUCUAAUGAGAUGAAAUACUCGACCAAAGAAGGUAAAAGUCCUGUCUGAUCCCUUGCGUCAGAAGAGAAAAGUACAUGGUAUUAAAGUAUCAUGGAAAACUGGGGGCCCACCCUCAAAGGCAUAAAGGACAUUUUUCACCGAUAGCGAACAAGUACCGUGAGGGAAAUGAUAUGAACCUUCCUGAAAAGGAAGACGAGAGAUCUGAAAUUCAGUGCUUCCAGGCGAUUAGAGCCCUUGAACAAGGGUGAUAGUGUACCUUUUGCAUAAUGGGUCAGCGAGAUAUCGAAGAAAGCAAAAGCUUAAGUCGACAGAUGGAGGCGUACAGAUAUGGAACAAAGUUUUCUUCGGUAGACCCGAAACCGAGCGAUCUUUCCAUGAGCAAGUUGAAACGUACGCUAGCGCGUAUCGGAGGACUGAACUGAUUGGUGUUGCAAAACUAUCAGAUGACUUGUGGAAAGGGGUGAAAGGCUAAUCAAGCUCGGCGAUAGCUGGUUUUCUGCGAAAGCUGUGCAAGCAGCGUGGAUUCCCCUCCUCUUUUUGGUUGUAGAGCACGUAUGGGAAGCGGGCGGCCCAAAGCUGUACUUCUUCUCGUGAAUCUCCGAAGUCCAAAUCAAGAGAAAGAAUCUACACAGACACUUCAUGCGAAGAUGAGGUGUCAAGAGGGAAACAGCCCUCAUCGUAUGUUAAGGUCCCAAAAUGAGUGUAUAGUUGAAGGAAGAAGAAAAGCAAAAACAUUCAGGAGAUGGGCUUGGAGGCAGCCAUUCUUUGAAGAAAGCGUAAUAGCUCACUGGAUAAGCUUUCUUCGCCGCAAAUGUCCGGGAAUCAACACUCUACCGAAGCAACGAACUUGAACUCUUCAUCAAGAAGUGAAUCAAGUGGUAGCAGAACGUUCUGUAUGGGGAAGAAGCCAAUUCGGGAGAAUUCGUGGACCUAUCAGAAGUGAGAAUGCUGACAUGAGUAGCGUGAAGAGAUAUGAGAUGUAUCUCCACCAAAGUCCAAGGGUUUCAAAGCCAUGUAAUUCAGCUUUGAGUGACUCGGUCCCUAAGACAGACAUUGAAAGAUGAGAGUCGAUGGGGAAAGAAAGAAGAUGGUUGAAUGAAGGAGAAAGAAUUUUUUGGAUGAAAACUCUUUGUCUGUUUCUCUCGAUCCUGGAAAUACUUCUUUCGACACACAACCGUACCUCAAACCGACACUGGUGGACUGAAUGGUGUGAAGUGAAUCACGGCGAAGGAACUCGGCAAAUUGCUCUCGUACCUUCGGUAGAAGAGAGAUCUUUCUUUGUACGAAAGAUGACACAUAUGGAGGGGACGACUGCUUCUUAAAAGCACAAGACUCUGCAAAAUCAACAGAUGAUGUAUAGGGUCUGACAUCUGCCCGGUGCUGGUAACGUAAAAGGUGUGUUGCCUCAUUCAAUUGAGAAGAUAGGCCUUGAAUGUUCAGUAAACGGCGGCCGUAACCUUAACGGUCCUAAGGUAGCAAAAUUCCUUGGCAUUUUAUUGGUGUCCUGCAUGAGUGAUGUAACGAUCCCCUUGCUGUCUCCGCCGUGAGCUUAGCGAAUUUGCAGUUUCCGUGAAGAUGCGGAAGACUUUUACAUAGACGAGAAGACCCCGUGGAUCUUUACUUUUCGCAUAUAUUGAAGCAUCCUCGCUGGUGAAGAGCAAAGGUGGGAGCUUAUGACUUCGUCUCGUCAGAGACUUAAAGAGGCACUCCUGAAAGACCACCCUCCAGCGAGGGUUCUUCUUCAUUCUUCGGAAAACAGUGUAUGCUAGAAAGUUUGACUGGGGCGGUGGCCUCCUACAGAUGAACGGAGGCGUACGAAGGUAAGUUCGGCUUGGUUGGACACCAAGAGUUCGUGGAGAAUGCCAUAUGCUUGCUUGACUGUGAGACCGGCGGGUCGAACAGGGACGAAAGUCGGUCAUACUGAUCCGAGAUUGCCGUGUGGAAGGAAUCUCGCUCAACGGAUCAAAGAUACCCCGGGGAUAACAGGCUGAUGAUCUCCUAGAGUCCAUAUCGACGAGAUCGUUUGGCACCUCGAUGUCGACUGAUCGCAUCCUUGUGGUUGGAGAAGCUACAAAGGGUUUGGCUGUUCGCCAAUGAAAGCGGUACCUGAGUUGGGUUUAGAACGUCGUGAGACAGUUCGGUUUCUAUCUUGUAAAAGAGACUUAAACAUUGAGAAAGCAUCACUCUAGUACGAGAGGACCGAGUGAUAUAUCCCUCUGGUUUCCCAGAUAUCCUCCAAAGAUAUGUCUGGACAGCUACGGAUAGAUAGGAGAACCAUUGAAAGCAUCUGAAAUGGGAAACUUCUUUCAAUACCAGUGUUUUAUCCUCGUAGAACAACUCUACGUGAAUAGGCUUCAUGUGUACGUUUUGUAAGAAAUUAAGCUGUGAAGUACUAACGGUGGGUAUGGUAAAAAGAA